rnacentral:sRNA from 1 species
GAUUUAUCUGGGAGCUCUUUUAAAAUAGUGUUCUAUGGCCGAGCGCGUUGGCUCACGCUUGUAAUCUCAGCACUUUGAGAGGCCGAGGCAGGAGGAUUGCUUGAGUCCAGGAGUUCGAGACCAGCCUGGGCCACAUGAUGAAAACCCGUCUCUACAAAAAAUACAAAAUAUAGCUGGGUAUAGUGACACAUGCCUGUGGUCCCAGCUACCUGGGAGGCUAAGGUGGGAGAAUCACCUGAGCCCAGGAGUUCGAGGCCGCAGUGAGUUGUGAUUGUACCAUUGCUCUCCAGCCUGGACGACCAAGUGAGAACCUGUCUCAAAAAAAAAAAAAAAAAGUGUCCUGUAAGUACAAAACAGCAUGGUGUAAUGAAAGAGCAUAGUCUUUGGAGUUAGACUGUUUCUGGCACUGCGAAGCCUUGGAUCAAAGAAAGUGCAUCACAGACAAGGGAUGUUCUCAAACAGCAUUUUAAUGAUUUAAAGGGAACCCUUGGAAAGCUCCUGGAUGAGCGAUUGGUGACCCUUUUGCAAGAGGUGGACACCAUUGAACAGGAGACCAUUAAACCACUAGAUGACUGCCAGAAGCUCAUAGAACACGGAGUCAA